AUACGGAGGGUGCAAGCGUUAAUCGGAAUUACUGGGCAUAAAGGGUUCGUAGGCGGUUAUUUAAGUCAGAUGUGAAAGCCCCGGGCUCAACCUGGGAAUUGCAUCUGAUACUGGGUAACUAGAGUUUAAGAGAGGAGUGUGGAAUUUCCGGUGUAGCGGUGAAAUGCAUAGAGAUCGGAAGGAACAUCAGUGGCGAAGGCGGCACUCUGGCUUAAAACUGACGCUGAGGAACGAAAGCGUGGGUAGCAAACAGGAUUAGAAACCCUAGUAGUCC
rnacentral:rRNA from 1 species